ACCUGGGGUGGAGGCACUGAUCCGGAAGCAAGCGAGGUCGCUCGUCCGAGAAGCUCGCGGGCGCGCUUCCGGGGAGCCACUAGCGAAACCGGCCACUGCGUGG
rnacentral:ncRNA from 1 species